AUUGAACGCUGGCGGCAGGCCUAACACAUGCAAGUCGAACGAGUGGCGGACGGGUGAGUAAUGUCUGGGAAACUGCCUGAUGGAGGGGGAUAACUACUGGAAACGGUAGCUAAUACCGCAUACCAUCGGAUGUGCCCAGAUGGGAUUAGCUAGUAGGUGGGGUAACGGCUCACCUAGGCGACGAUCCCUAGCUGGUCUGAGAGGAUGACCAGCAACACUGGAACUGAUACACGGUCCAGACUCCUACGGGAGGCAGCAGUGGGGAAUAGUGCACAAUGGGCGCAAGCCUGAUGCAGCCAUGCCGCGUGUAUGAAGAAGGCCUGCGGGUUGUAAAGUACUUUCAGCGGGGAGGCGUUACCCGCAGAAGAAGCACCGGCUAACUCCGUGCCAGCAGCCGCGGUAAUUC
rnacentral:rRNA from 1 species